rnacentral:rRNA from 1 species
UGGCGGACGGGUGAGUAAUGUCUGGGAAACUGCCUGAUGGAGGGGGAUAACUACUGGAAACGGUAGCUAAUACCGCAUAACGUCGCAAGACCAAGGGGGGACCUUCGGGCCUCUUGCCAUCGGAUGUGCCCAGAUGGGAUUAGCUAGUAGGUGGGGUAAAGGCUCACCUAGGCGACGAUCCCUAGCUGGUCUGAGAGGAUGACCAGCCACACUGGAACUGAGACACGGUCCAG